GGUAAGCCUGAUGUUGCUGUG
rnacentral:siRNA from 1 species